rnacentral:rRNA from 1 species
AGGGUGUAAACGCUGCAGACUUGGUGUUGGAAGUCCUUUGGGGGCAUUCAGUGCCGGAGAGAAGUUGUUAAGUCUGCUACUUGGGGAGUACGUCCGCAAGGAUGAAACUUAAAGGAAUUGGCGGGGGGAGCACCGCAACGGGAGGAGCGUGCGGUUUAAUUGGACUCAACGCCGUAAAACUCACCAGGGAAGACUGUUACAUGAAAGCCGAGAUGAAGACUCUGCCAGAUUUUCAGAGAGGUGGUGCAUGGCGUCAGUGACU